rnacentral:rRNA from 2 species
GUGCGAGACCGAUAGCGAACAAGUACCGUGAGGAAAAGAUGAAAAGAACUUUGAAAAGAGAGUUAAAGAGUACCUGAAACUGCUGAAAGGGAACCGAAUCGUUUCCAGUGUCUAUAAUCUGCGGCAUAUUUCAUUGGCGAGUAGAUGUGUGUGGCGUUUUGUAAGUAGUUUUCUGCUGCUGGCGUUACUUUGCGUUUGCUUGUUGGUGCCCUGUGCUGUGGUGGGACGUCAGAGUCAGUUCGUAUACUGCGGGAAAUGGUUACUGGGGAGGUAGGUCACUUCGGUGGCUGUUAUAUCCUGGUGACUAGUCGUCGUGGUUGGGACUGAGGUGCCUAC